rnacentral:rRNA from 1 species
GACGGAGGAUGCAAGCGUUAUCCGGAAUGAUUGGGCGUAAAGCGUCUGCAGGUGGCAGUUCAAGUCUGCUGUCAAAGACCGGGGCUUAACUUCGGAAAGGCAGUGGAAACUGAACAGCUAGAGUAUGGUAGGGGCAGAGGGAAUUCCUGGUGUAGCGGUGAAAUGCGCAGAGAUCAGGAAGAACAUCGGUGGCGAAGGCGCUCUGCUGGACCAUAACUGACACUCAGGGACGAAAGCUAGGGGAGCGAAUGGG